rnacentral:rRNA from 1 species
UACGUAGGGGGCAAGCGUUGUCCGGAUUUAUUGGGCGUAAAGAGCGUGUAGGCGGUCUGGUAGGUCCGUUGUGAAAACUCGAGGCUCAACCUCGAGACGCCGAUGGAAACCCUCAGACUAGAGUCCGGAAGAGGAGAGUGGAAUUCCUGGUGUAGCGGUGAAAUGCGCAGAUAUCAGGAAGAACGCCCGUGGCUAAGGCGGCUCUCUAGUACGGUACUGACGCUGAGACGCGAAAGCGUGGGGAGCGAACAGG